UCAUGAAAGCCGCUUGUACCCGAAGUCGCUGUGCCAACUCGCAAGAGGGGCAGGUGCCGAAGGUAUGGGUGGUGAUUGGGAUG
rnacentral:rRNA from 1 species